CUAUCAGUCUGGCCUCGGGGAGGGGAUGUGGCUGGAGAUUGAGUUCAAUCACAUAGCCAUUUAAUCAACGAAGCCUACAUACUGAGACUCCAAUAGGCACUCUGGACACCUGAAGCUCAGGUGAACUUCCCUGGUUGGUCGUACAUCCAUGUGCCAGGACAGUGACACAUCCUGAGGACAUGAAAGCUUCAUUCAUAUUUGGAGCCCUUCUAAAUCUCACCCUCUAUGUCUCACAUCUGCAUGGUCCUGGGAUGUAUCCCUUAGAAUUGUGAGUACAGAGCUCUCCUGACUUCUGUGAGUCAUUCCAGUAUAUGAUUAAACUCGAUGGGAAUCCAGUAUACGAUGAACCCUGAUGGGAAUUUGUUACCAGCUGGGCAGAAGUGUGGGCGAUCUGUGGACCCCGAGCUUGUAGCUGGUGUCUGAAGUGAGAAGCACCUGUGAAGAAGUGAGCCUUAAGCCGAAAAUUGGACCUAAAGUCUGCAUGGCAGUGUCAAGGUGGCAUGGCAUCCCUUUGGCAUCAAUGUGACCAUGUCUCAGUCCUGACCUGCUGCUCUUCAUUGAAUCAGAACCCAUGGGAAGCCCAGGCAGCGGCCCUCUGUUGGAUUCUUCAAGGCGAAUAAGAAUCUGCCGGAAAGAAGUCAUAAAUCCUCCGUGCCCUGUGCUGUCAGCCGUGAGUCUCGCCGGUUUGCUUCUGUGGAACCAGGAGAGUCAGGUCAUUUGAGUGUUUGUGUGUCCAGGGUUAUGCCUCUGUGAUCCACCAACUGCGUCUCCCGUGCGGCCUGCACCAUGCAAGAUAAAGACCUGGAGACUAGCCGUCCGGCUCUGGCCCCCACCACUUCAUUAAAGACUGUCAACAGCCUUGAUCUAUCUGUCUGUGUUACCUGAUCCCGCACGCUGAGGCUCGGUAAAGGACUCCCGUGCUGGAGACCAUGGUGUAGGCUGUCAGAAUGGAAUUUUGAAAUUGUGGCCAGACACAGCUCACUAAAAACUGUAAUUAGUGGGUAGACAGAAAAGCCUCAUCACCCAGGGCCUGGU
rnacentral:lncRNA from 1 species